UACGAAGGGGGCUAGCGUUGCUCGGAAUUACUGGGCGUAAAGCGCACGUAGGCGGAUUGUUAAGUCGGGGGUGAAAUCCUGGAGCUCAACUCCAGAACUGCCUUCGAUACUGGCGAUCUCGAGUUCGGGAGAGGUGAGUGGAACUGCGAGUGUAGAGGUGAAAUUCGUAGAUAUUCGCAAGAACACCAGUGGCGAAGGCGGCUCACUGGCCCGAUACUGACGCUGAGGUGCGAAAGCGUGGGGAGCAACAGGG
rnacentral:rRNA from 1 species